AGCGAACGCUGGCGGCAGGCUUAACACAUGCAAGUCGAGCGGGCACUUUCGGGUGUCAGCGGCGGACGGGUGAGUAACGCGUGGGAACGUGCCCUCUGGUUCGGAAUAACACAGGGAAACUUGAGCUAAUACCGGAUACGCCCUUUUGGGGAAAGGCUUGCUGCCGGAGGAUCGGCCCGCGUCUGAUUAGCUAGUUGGUGAGGUAACGGCUCACCAAGGCGACGAUCAGUAGCUGGUCUGAGAGGAUGAUCAGCCACACUGGGACUGAGACACGGCCCAGUCUCCUACGGGAGAGAGCAGUAGGGAAUAUUGGACAAGGGGCGCAAGCCUGAUCCAGCCAUGCCGCGUGAGUGAUGAAGGCCUUAGGGUUGUAAAUCUCUUUUAUCCGGGACGAUAAUGACGGUACCGGAUGAAUAAGCCCCGGCUAACUUCGUG
rnacentral:rRNA from 1 species